rnacentral:lncRNA from 1 species
UGGUACGAUUCAACUGACUAAUGAGGCAGGUGUGUGCCCAAACGAACCGCACCAAAGGGGGAAACGAACUCUGGUACGAUUCAACCGAACUAAAUGAGGCAGGUGUGAAAGCACCCUUAGAAUGGCGCAGCCAGCGAAUUCUACGAAGGAGCUUGUGGCAACCACAUGGGACGACCCCAGCCUGGACUCCGCUUCGUCCGCGGUGAAAGCCGAUCCGGCGAUCCCCACUGCAAAGUUGAUGUAUUUCCUCAGCGACCAGCACGGAUCAGCUCCAGGGAUGAAGAAGCGGAUAUCAUCGUCUUUUGGAAGGCCAAACAAAGUAGUUUCACUUUCACAAUGAAACUCACGGUGUCUAUACGACAUGGCGGCGGCAACAAUACUACAACGAGGGAAAUGUGUGCGUGAGGAAGAGGGGGGCUGGGGGUGAUUGAGGGAGGAAGUCCAGUUUGGCAGGGCGUAAGCGAGAAGAGAACAGAAGAAGAGUACAGCAGUUCAGACUACAUAGGCUUGAGUAAGGACAAGAAAUAGCUAGGGAGAAGUAGAUGUAAGAAAGACUACAGCAGGAAACAUAACAACACACUGCCUGGGCAUUUAGAGUUGCUGCGGGGGGAAUCAUGGCCUCUCUGCUGUUUGGACCUAUCUGUGUUCUCUGCAUCUUGUCAGCACUCACGAACACAGCUUCCUCGCAACAUUUAAACACAGUCUACAGGGAGUCGUCCACAAGCUCAUCUGGAGGACCCAUUAUUUACAACGGAGGAGGGAAAGCCUAUGUCCAGAGCCUGGUUUGCAUCCCGUUUCCGUCUGCUGUGUCAAUACUGCGGGCUUCCCCCAGAGUGUUAUUCGGCUCAUUCAUUGCGCAUAGGUGCUGCUACAACUGCAGCUUCCUCUACUCCCGUUUCUACCCUUAAAGCUAUGGGAAGAUGGUCUUCAGCAGCUUAUGAACGGUACCUCCGGUCAGAUACUCGAGCCAUCCUUGAGGCUCAGAAAGCUAUGAGUGAUGCUUGUGAUCGGUAGUUGAAAUAAAUAUUGCUUCAGUAACUAUUGGGCUUAUUUAAGGGCUUAUUUAAUUACAGCUUCAUUCCUCUUGCUAGCUUCACGUUGAUCUAUUGGCUUAUUCUUUUUACUAAUAAGAUUGGCUUUUUGAAAGCUCAUUUUGAUCCUCUUUGGCUCUUCACUUAGCAGGAAGAGCCAGGGAUGAUUGCCUGGUAUGGUCUGUUUGGGGGGGAAUUUAUUUGCUGCUUUCCCAGUUUAAAUGGGAGAUUGUCCCCAGAAGCUGCUGCUGUUCCCUGACUAACUUUCAUGGAGCUCAUGAAAAGGAUGGGUAACUCAGAACAGAGCCAUACCGCCAAAUGUAACUUAAACAAUCAUGCAAAUAAAAAUAUGAAUAUUGACUAAAAGAAUUGUCUAUGGUAUUUUUUGACUCAAGUGGUCCUGACUGAAAUAUAGCGUUCAGCGUCAGUUCAGGCAGGCCGCGUAGUCAAGCUCCGCUAUCAGCUGAUACCCAGACCUAACAGCUGAUCCGGUUGCUAAGCACUCAAUUGGUCCCUUUCAAACAGGGCGCCCUAUUUAAAUGCAUUCUCAGUCUGCUGCUUGGCUGCUUCCACUGCACUGCUUGCAACCCACCUCCUCCCCUAACUCCUCCUUAACUUUCGUUUAACUUAAUCAGUGACAUUCUGUUUUCAUUGAUGCAUGCUCUGUUCUCAAUGGGGAAUUUAUUUGCUGCUUUCCCAGUUUAAAUGGGAGAUUGUCCCCAGAAGCUGCUGCUGUUCCCUGACUAGCUUUCAUGGAGCUCAUGAAAAGGAUGGGUAACUCAGAACAGAGCCAUACCAACAGAGCCAUACCGCCAAAUGUAACUUAAACAAUCAUGCAAAUAAAAAUAUGAAUAUUGACUAAAAGAAUUGUCUAUGGUAUUUUUUGACUCAAGUGGUCCUGACUGAACUUUUAUCAUCAGCUUGCGUGUAUCCCAAUUUUUUGUGUCCGCAUGGACAGCAGUAUCUGUGCUAGUGAUUUAAGCAUUUAAAAAACAAAGGUCCACUGAAUACAUUCAUCUGUGCAUGCAGUCCAUAGAAUAUACUUUAUAAGGCUUGUAUGGUCAACUGUGCGCAAAAUGGAGCAGAGCACAGAAAAUUAAGUAUACCCAAGUCUUUAGCCAGAAAGAUUCCACAGACUGUCAUUCCACCCCACUGCACCAGACAAAUGCAUUGAGAACCAAAAC